rnacentral:lncRNA from 1 species
UGCGGUUUUUAGGGUUCCGUAGCCAAAAUGGCAAAAACGGAACCCUUAUAGUUUCGUCAUGUCCGUCUGUCCGUCUGUCCGUCUGUCACAGCCGAUUUACUCGGAAACUAUAAGUACUACAGUGAUGAAAUUUGAUGGGAAUAUGUGUUGUAUGAACCGCUACAAAAAUAUGACACUAAAUAGUAAAAAAAAGAAUUGGGGGUGGGGCCCCCCAUACAUGUAACUGAGGGAUGAAAUUUUUUUUUUCGAUGUACAUACCCGUGUGGGGUAUCAAUGGAAAGGUCUUUUAAAAUGAUAUAAAGUUUUCUAAAAAACAUUUUUCUUAAAGUGAACGGUUUUUGAGAUAUCAGCUCUCAAAGUCGUAAAAAGUAUGUCCCCCCCCUCUAUUUUUAUAACUACGGGGUAUAAAAUUCUAAAAAAAAUAGAGGUGAUGCAUGCUAAUUAACUCUUUCAACGAUUUUUGGUUUGAUCAAAGUAUCUCUUAUAGUUUUUGAGAUAGGUUGAUUUAACUGUAAUUUACGGAACCCUUCGUGCACGAGUCCGACUCGCACUUGGCCGGUUUUUAUUAA